GCACAGGUGCUGCAUGGCUGUCGUCAGCUCGUGCUGUGAAGUGUCGGGUUAAGUCCCUUAACGAGCGAAACCCUUGCCCUUAGUUGCCAGCGGGUCAUGCCGGGGACUCUAAGGGGACUGCCACGGUGAACGUGGAGGAAGGUGGGGAUGACGUCAAGUCCUCAUGGCCUUUAUGCCCAGGGCUGCACACGUGCUACAAUGGCGGGCACAGAGGGAUGCGAAGUCGCGAGGCGGAGCCAAACCCUAAAAACCCGCCCCAGUUCGGAUUGCAGGCUGCAACUCGCCUGCAUGAAGGUGGAAUCGCUAGUAAUCGCGGAUCAGCGAUGCCGCGGUGAAUGUGUUCCUGAGCCUUGUACACACCGCCCGUCAAGCCACCGAAGCCGGGAGUACCCGAAGUCGCUGACCCAACCCGAAAGGGAGGGAGGCGCCGACGGUAAGCUCGGUGACGGGGACUAAGUCGUAACAAGGUAGCCGUAGGGGAACCUGCGGCUGGAUCACCUCCUUUCUAGGGAGA
rnacentral:rRNA from 1 species